rnacentral:tRNA from 1 species
GUGCCGCCUUAGCUCAGUUGGUAGAGCAUCGGCUUCCCAAGCCGAGGGUCGCGGGUUCGAAUCCCGUNNCUCA